AUUGAACGCUGGCGGAAUGCUUUACACAUGCAAGUCGAACGGUAGAGGGGGCAACCCCUUGAGAGUGGCGAACGGGUGAGUAAUAUAUCGGAACGUGCCCAGUCGUGGGGAUAACGUAGCGAAAGUUACGCUAAUACCGCAUACGAUCUAAGGAUGAAAGCGGGGGAUCGCAAGACCUCGCGCGAUUGGAGCGGCCGAUAUCAGAUUAGGUAGUUGGUGAGGUAAAGGCUCACCAAGCCGACGAUCUGUAGCUGGUCUGAGAGGACGACCAGCCACACUGGGACUGAGACACGGCCCAGACUCCUACGGGAGGCAGCAGUGGGGAAUUUUGGACAAUGGGCGCAAGCCUGAUCCAGCAAUGCCGCGUGCAGGAUGAAGGCCUUC
rnacentral:rRNA from 1 species